CGUAGGCGGCUUUAUAAGUCAGAUGUGAAAGUCCAUGGCUCAACUGUGGAAGUGCAUUUGAAACUGUGAAGCUUGAGUAUCGGAGGGGAGUGUGGAAUUCCCGGUGUAGAGGUGAAAUUCGUAGAGAUCGGGAGGAACACCGGUGGCGAAGGCGACACUCUGGACGAAUACUGACGCUGAGGCGCGAAAGCGUGGGGAGCAAACA
rnacentral:rRNA from 1 species